rnacentral:rRNA from 1 species
GGCCAAUCUACUAAGAGCACACGGGGGAUGUCUUGGCAUCAAGAGACGAAGAAGGGCGUGGAAGUCUGCGAUAAUCCUGGGGAAGCUGACAAACAAGCAAUGAUCCCGGGGUACCCGAAUUGCACUUAGCUGAAUACAUAGGCUAUUUGCGAUAACCUGCUGAACUGAAACAUCUAAGUAAGCAGUGGAAAAUAAAGAAAAAUCGAUUCCGUCAGUAGCGGCGAGCGACAGCGGAACAGCCCAAACCGGGGGGGUUUCCCUCCCGGGGUUGUAGGGCCUCUCAUUGUGGAGUUACAAAUCGGCGAGUUAGCGGAACGGCUUGGAAAGGCCGGCCAUAGCGGGUGACAGCCCCGUACGCGAAAACUUUGUCGACUCCCGAGAGGUACCUGAGUAGGUCCAGUCACGUGAAACCUGGACUGAAUCUGCGGGGACCAUCCCGCAAGGCUAAAUACUCCUUGAUGACCGAUAGCGAACCAGUAGCGCGAGCGAAGGGUGAGAAGAACCCCGAUUAGGGGAGGAAUGUGAACCUGAAACCGUGUGCCUACAAGCGGUCGGAGCUCUAUGUUGCUUGCAACACGAGUGACGGCGUGCCUUUUGCAUAAUGAUCCGGCGAGUUGUGGUAUACGGCUUGGUUAAGAUCUUACGGAUCGAAGCCCAAGGGAAACCGAGUCUGAAUAGGGCGAAAUAUGGUCGUAUGCUGCAGACGCGAAACCUGAGUGAUCUACCCAUGAGCAGGUUGAAGCGCGGGUUAAACUGCGUGGAGGACCGAACCCACUUGGGUUGAAAACCGAGGGGAUGACUUGUGGGGAGGACUGAAAGUGUAAUCAAACCAGGAGAUAGCUCGUUCUCUCCGAAAUAUCUUGAGGGAUAGCGUCGAGCAACUAUUUACCGGGGGUAGAGAGACUGAAUCGGAUGGGGGCCCUUCCCGGGGUACCUCACUGAACCAAACUCCGAAUACCGGUGAAACUAUCUCGGCAGUCAGUCCCUGGGGGAUAAGCUCCAGGGUCGAGAGGGAAACAACCCAGAUCGCCUGCUAAGGUCCCGAAGAAAUACUUAGUCACUAAGGAAGUUGAAAUGCUAUGACAGCUGGGAUGUUGGCUUAGAAGCAGCCACCAUUUAAAAAGUGCGUAACAGCUUACCAGUCGAGCA